GUACACUCCUACGGGAGGCAGCAGUGGGGAAUUUUGAACAAUGGGCGAAAGCCUGAUCCAGCCAUGCCGCGUGCAGGAUGAAGGCCUUCGGGUUGUAAACUGCUUUUGUACGGAACGAAACGGCCUUUUCUAAUAAAGAGGGCUAAUGACGGUACCGUAAGAAUAAGCACCGGCUAACUACGUGCCAGCAGCCGCGGUAAUACGUAGGGUGCAAGCGUUAAUCGGAAUUACUGGGCGUAAAGCGUGCGCAGGCGGUUAUGUAAGACAGUUGUGAAAUCCCCGGGCUCAACCUGGGAACUGCAUCUGUGACUGCAUAGCUAGAGUACGGUAGAGGGGGAUGGAAUUCCGCGUGUAGCAGUGAAAUGCGUAGAUAUGCGGAGGAACACCGAUGGCGAAGGCAAUCCCCUGGACCUGUACUGACGCUCAUGCACGAAAGCGUGGGGAGCAAACAGGAUUAGAAACCCGGGUAGUCCCA
rnacentral:rRNA from 1 species